GGAGGUUACUGCUAUCGGUGUUCGCCUAAGCCAUGCGAGUCAUAUGUUCUUCGUGAACAUGGCGUACUGCUCAGUAACACGUGAAUAACCUGCCCUUGGGACCGGCAUAACCCCGGGAAACUGGGGAUAAUUCCGGAUACCGCAUAUAUGCUGGAAUGCUUUAUGCGUGAAAUGGAUUCGUCUGCCCAAGGAUGGGUCUGCGGCCUAUCAGGUAGUAGGGGGUGUAAUGUACCUACUACCCUACAACGGGUACGGGUUGUGAGAGCAAGAGCCCGGAAAUGGAUUCUGAAACAUGAAUCCAGGCCCUACGGGGCGCAGCAGGCGCAAAAACUUUACAAUGCGGAAAACCGUGAUAAGGGGACACCGAGUGCCAGCAACAUUUGUUGGCUGUCCAGGUGUGUAAACUACACCUGUUAGCAAGGGCCGGGCAAGACCGGUGC
rnacentral:rRNA from 1 species